rnacentral:rRNA from 1 species
UUUUGGACAAUGGGCGAAAGCCUGAUCCAGCAAUGCCGCGUGUGUGAAGAAGGCCUUCGGGUUGUAAAGCACUUUUGUCCGGAAAGAAAUCCUUGGCUCUAAUACAGUCGGGGGAUGACGGUACCGGAAGAAUAAGCACCGGCUAACUACGUGCCAGCAGCCGCGGUAAUACGUAGGGUGCGAGCGUUAAUCGGAAUUACUGGGCGUAAAGCGUGCGCAGGCGGUUUGCUAAGACCGAUGUGAAAUCCCCGGGCUCAACCUGGGAACUGCAUUGGUGACUGGCAGGCUAGAGUAUGGCAGAGGGGGGUAGAAUUCCACGUGUAGCAGUGAAAUGCGUAGAGAUGUGGAGGAAUACCGAUGGCGAAGGCAGCCCCCUGGCCAAUACUGACGCUCAUGCACGAAAGCGUGGGGAGCAAACAGGAUUAGAUACCCUGGUAGUCCACGCCCUAAACGAUGUCAACUAAUUGUUGGGGAUUCAUUUCCUUAGUAACGUAGCUAACGCGUGAAGUUGACCGCCUGGGGAGUACGGUCGCAAGAUUAAAACUCAAAGGAAUUGACGGGGACCCGCACAAGCGGUGGAUGAUGUGGAUUAAUUCGAUGCAACGCGAAAAACCUUACCUACCCUUGACAUGGUCGGAAUCCCGCUGAGAGGUGGGAGUGCUCGAAAGAGAACCGGCGCACAGGUGCUGCAUGGCUGUCGUCAGCUCGUGUCGUGAGAUGUUGGGUUAAGUCCCGCAACGAGCGCAACCCUUGUCCUUAGUUGCUACGCAAGAGCACUCUAAGGAGACUGCCGGUGACAAACCGGAGGAAGGUGGGGAUGACGUCAAGUCCUCAUGGCCCUUAUGGGUAGGGCUUCACACGUCAUACAAUGGUCGGAACAGAGGGUUGCCAACCCGCGAGGGGGAGCUAAUCCCAGAAAGCCGAUCGUAGUCCGGAUUGCACUCUGCAACUCGAGUGCAUGAAGCUGGCUCGCUAGUAAUCGCGGAUCAGCAUGCCGCGGUGAAGAAUCCCAUGCCUUGUACACACCGC